ACAUAAGUAAGUUCCAAUGUAGCUUAAGUAAAUAAUUCAAAAGAAAGGAAAAAUAUAAGUCUAUAACCCCAUUCACAAUGAAAUUAUAUUUUAAUAACGUCACCUAUUAUAUGUCAAGUUUGUUAAUAACUCAUUCUUUCCAAUAUUAAGAGGUGUAGUUUCAAAUAUUAGAAUAAUAACAUGGUUAUGCUAAAUGAAUAAAAUAAAAUAAAAAAUACGAGCAAUUACAUGGAAUCACAAGAAGUAAAGGUUGGGAAUGAAAAGAAAGAAAAUGAAAAAUAAAUAAUAUAAAAAGAAAAAUACAUUUUAAAAAAUAAAAAUAAUAAAAAAGUAAAAAUAAAAAAGAAAUUAAAAUAAUAGAAAUAAAAAAAUAUUUAAAAUCAAAAAAAUUAAAAUAAUAGAAAUAAAAUAAAUUAAAAAUAAAAAUGAAUUAAAGUAAAAAAAUAAACAGACUAAAAAGUAACCCUGUAAUUACAGGGUGUAAUUACACCCAAUUCUCAGCCCCCUUGAGAAUUGGAGAGUGUAAUUACACCCUGUCAAUUACACCCAAUUCCCACCUAACUGUGUAAUUACCUGGUCAAACAAACAGGCCAAACUGUGUAAUUACACCCAAUUACACCCAAUUCCAAUUACCUGGGUGGCUUUCCAAACAGGCUUAGUGAUUUCUGAGGUGGUAAAUGGGAUUCGUCAGUUUUGCACUUAACUGUUCCCUUCUUUUGUGUUUGCAGCCAUUGGUCUCACAGAAUAGUGAAUUAUUCUUUUGAUGGAGCGGCCUUUUUUGUUCUUGUUAUUGAGGUUUCUUUUCAGGCUUUUAUGCGUAGCGGGAUUCUCAUUCAUUCCCUCUUUCUCAAAACCACUGCUGUAUGGAGGUGCUCUCAACUAAGAUAUUAUUUUCCACUAGUGUGUGUUGUAUCCUUGAUGCCAUAAAGUUUUUAGUCGAGAUGCUUAUGUUCUUGGAUGAUCCAGCUGAUAGGAUCCCUGAUGGUUAUGGACACCUGAUAAGUACCCAAACUCAAAACCCAAUUUUGGAUUUUCUUAUAACCCCAUUAAGUACCGUGCUACUUUGGUGUUCUUGGUACUUAUCUUCUCUACUUAUGUUUUCUUUUGUUUAUUACGUCAUUUGAUUUGGUUUGGUUGGAGGCAUGUUUGUAGACCACAUAGUGACAGUGAUGGAGGAUUAAAUUUGGAAAUUUUUGAAGUUCGGUUUUUGUAAUGCCCUGUGCACCAUGUUUCUUGGCCAUUUUGGUGCUUGCACUACAAUGUGGAUAUCGCCAGACUCUGAGAAAAGGGAGUUUUGCAGUCUUGUCUAGCAUAUCUAGUGAUCUCUCCUAUCAUGGGCUUUGCACUUAACUGUUCCCUUCUUUCUGUGCUUGCAGUCGUUGGGUCUUUAAGAGCAGUGAAAUCUUCCUUUCCUGAAGCAUUGUUGUCUGCUGGAAUUGAGGUUUUCCUUAGUUUAGGCGUUCUAUGAGUAUCUAGAUUUUGCGUUCAGUUUUCUUCCUAAUCAUUGAGAUACCCUUCUCUCUUUGUCAAAAUUGCAGUUAUAUCGGAGUUUUCAACUACGAUAAUUCUUUCCACAAGUGUAUAAUGUGUUGUGUGCCAUUUUUGGUUUUUUUUAGUCCAGAUGCUUAUGUUUUUCGAUAAUCCAACUAAUGAUAUUUCUUAUGGGUAUAGGCAUCUGAUAAGUACUCACCCAGUUCUGGAUCUUUUGGUAGCCCUGUAAAAUGCUCCUCUAUCUUUGGUGAUCUUGCUUUUUUUCUCUGCUAUCGUUUUCUGUUGCUUGUCACGCCAGGUCGAGUUUCUCUUUUGGAAGGGUGCGUAUACCACGUUGAACAGUAAUGCUGAUUAUAUUUGGAUAUUGUGAGGCUUCGACAAAAAGAGGGGGUUUUCAAUAUCUUGUCUCUGACAUAUAUCUAGUGAUUUCUUAGGUGGUAUGGGUUUCGUCAGAUUUACACUUGAACUGUUUCCUUCUAUAUGUGCUGGAAGCCAUUGGGUCUUAUAGAGCUUGGCAUUCCACUUUUGACCGUGCAGCCUAGUUUGUCUAUUUUUGUUGAGGUUUCUUUAGUUCAAGAUUUCAUGAGUACGAGUUUCUCAAUCCAGUUUUCUUCCCUAAUCAGAGUGGUUCCUUCUCUCUUUGUCAAAACUGCUCUUGUAUGGUAGUUCUUAGCUAAUAGCUGUUUCCACUGUGCUGUAUUCUGCUUCCAUUUUAUAGUUUAGUCCAGAUGCUUAUGUUUCUGUGAUCAAACUUAUGAGGUCCGUGAUGUUUGAUGGUUAUGGACACCUGAUAAGUACUCAAAACCCAAUUCUGGAUAUUUUGAUAGCCCCGUAAAGUGCUUUAUUUUGGCAUUCUCGCUACUUAUCUACUGUGCUUCUGUUCUCUUUUGUGUCACACCGGUUGAUUUGUUUGUUGGGUAAAUCUGGUGACACUUAGAGGAUUAGAUUUGCAUAUUUGGAAGGCUGGUAUCCAGUUUGCUUUCUGGGCACUUUCCUGGUAUCUUUGUGCUUGGACUGCAGUCUGGUUAUUAUCAGGCUUUCAGAGACGGGUUUUUCUAUCUGGUCUGGCAUUUGUAGUGAUUUCUUAGGUGGUAUGGUCUUCGCCAGCUUUGCACUCAACUGUUCCCUUGUUUCGGUGGUUGCAGCUGUUGGUUCUUACGAGCAGUAGAUCCUUCUUUUCAUGGAGCGGCCUUGUUUGUCAAUUUUUGUUGAGUCCAGGUACUUGUGUUUCUUUGGUGAUCCAACUGAUGAGAUCUCUAAUGGUUGUGGACGCAUGAUAUUUUUAGACCACAUGGUGGGAAAAAAGAUGGUUGAUUUGGAAAUUUCAAAGUUUGGUACUCUGGUCACAGUGUGCAUCGAGAAAGGGAGUUCUCCGAUCUUGUCUGGCACCUCUAAUGAUCUCCUGGGUGGUAUGGGUUUUGCGAUCUUUGCACUUGAUUGUUCCUUUUUAUGUGCUUGCAGUCAUCGGGUCUUACCGAGCAGUUCUUCUUUCAUGGAGCAACCUUAUUUGUUGGUUUGUUGAAGGUAUCGAGAUUUUCAAUUCAGAUUUCUUCCCUAAUGGCUCCCUUUUAUCUUUUUCUUAACUAUUGUGUAUGGAAGUUUCUCAACUAAAAUAUCGUUCACUAGUGUGUGUUUUGUGUUCUGCUGCCAAGAAGUUUUUAGUCCAGAUGCUUAUGUUCUUCGAUGGCCUAACUGAUGAGGUCUCAAAUGGGUUUGGACACCUGAUAAGUACUUGGUCGUCUUCUGAUAGCGUUGUAAAGUGCUCCUCAACUUUUGUUCUUAUAGCUAGUUAUCUUCUCUGCUUUCCCUUUCUUUUGGUUGGCACACCACUGGAUUUUUUUGUUAUAUGGAUGUGUAGACCACAUGGUGACAGUAGUAAAGGUUAAGAUUUGGAAAUUUUGAAGGUUGUGAUGCAGUGUGAGAACUUUUGGUGUUUGCACUGCAAUCUGGAUAUUGUUAGGCUUCAGCAAAAAAGGGGUUUUCAAUCUUGUCUAUGGCAUUUCUAGUGAUUUCUUGGGUGGUAUAGGUUUCCUCGGCUUUGCCCCUAAUUGUUCCCUUGUUUUCUUUGCUUGCAGCCGUGAGCAGUGACUUCUUCUUUGUGUGGAGCGAUCAUGUUUGUCCAUUUGGGCUGAGCUUUCUUUAGUUCAGUAUUAUAUGAGUAUCAAGAUUUUCAAUUCACUUCUCUUCCCUAAUGGCUCCCUUUUUUCUUUGUUGAAACUACUAUUGUUUUGAAGUUUCUCAAACUAAGAUCAUAUUUCACAUCUACUACCGUGACGUUUUUACUCCAGAUGCUUAUGUUCUUCGAUGAUCCAAUUGAUGAGGUCUCUCUUAUAGUUAUGGACACCCAAUAAGUACUCGGCAAUUUCGAUCGUUUGAUAGUGCCAUAAAGUGCUCCUCUAGCUUUGGUCUUCUAGCUACUUAUCUUCUCCAUUUUCUUUUGGUUAUCACCACGCCAUUUGUUUGUUCUUUUUUGUUGGAUGGAUUUGUAGAUCAUAUGGUGACAGUAACAGAGGUUAAGAUUUGGAAAUCCCAAAGGUUGGUAUCCAGUAUGCAUUCUCUGCACCCUCUUGGUCGUUUGGUGCUUGCAUUGCAAUCUGGAUAUUGUCGGGCUUCGACCAAAAGGGGGUUUUCAAUCUUGUCUAUGACACCCCUAGUAUUUUCUUAGGUGGUUUGAGUUUUGUCAGCUUUGCACUUUACUGUUCCCUUCCUUCUGUGCUUGCAGCCAUUGGGUUUUUUGGAGCGGCCUUAUUUGUCCAUUUGUGUUGAGGUUUCUUUAGUUCAGUCUUUUAUGAGCAUCAAGAUUUUCAGUUCAGUUCUCUUCCUGAAUAGGUUCCUUUUCUCUUUGUUGAAACUACUAUCGUUUUGGAGUUUCUCAACUAAGAUAAUAUUCCGCUGCCGUGAAGAUUUCAGUUCAGAUGCCUAUGUUCUUCGAUGAUCCAACCGAUGAGGUCUCUUACGGUUACUGACGCCUAGUAAGUACUCGGUCAAUUCCGGAUCUUUUGAUGGUGUGCACUAAAGUGCUUCUCGGUCUUCUAGCUACUUUUCUACUCUGUUUCCAUUUUCUUUUGGUUAUCACGCGACAUGUUCUAUUUUUGUUGGAUGGAUGUGUAGACCAUAUGGUGACAGUUAUAGAGAAUGAGAUUUGGAAAUUUCAGAGGUUGGUAUCCAGUAUGCGUUCCUCUGCACCUUUUUGGUCUUUUUGGUGCUUCCACUGCAAUCUGGAAAUUGUCAGGCUUCGAUAGAAAGGCGGUUUUUCAAUCUUACCUAAUGCAUCUCUAGUGAUUUCUUAGGCGGUUUGGGUUUGGCCAGCUUUGCACUUAACUAUUCCUUGCUUUCUGUGCCUGCAGCCAUGGGUCUCACAGAGCAGUGAAUUAGUCUUUUCAUGGAGCGGGCCUUGUUUGUCCAUUUGUGUUGAGGUCUCUUUAGUUCAGUCUUUUAUGUGUAUUAAGAUUUUCAAUUCAGUUUCCUUCCCCAAUCAGAGUGGUACCCUUCUCUUCUUUGUCAGAAAUUAGAAAUCCUUUUGAACAAAUAUUCUGCCUGCCAUUUUUAGUUGUUGGUCUGGAUGCUUGCUUAUGUUCCUUGAUGACCCUGAUGAGAUCCCUGACUAUUGAUACUUAUGGACAUUUGGUAAGCACUCAAAACUCCAUUCUGGACCUUCGGUGGCCCCGUACAGUAUUAUUCUCUUUUGGUGUUCUUGCUGCUUAUCUUCUCUCCUUCUAUUCUCGUUCAUGCAUCAUGCUAGCUUGACUUUUUGGUGGAUGGAUGUGUGGUAGCAGUUGAAGGAUUAGAUUUUCAGCGUUCCGUUCUGUUUGUGCUUGCAGUUGUCGGGUCUUACAAAGCAGUGAAUACUUCUUUUCAUGGAGCGGACUUGUUUGUCGAUUUAUGUUGAGGUUUCUUUAGUUAAUGCUUUUAAUGAGUAUUGAAAUUUUCGAUUCAUAUUUCUUCCCUGAUCACUUGUUUCCUUCUCUCUGUCAAAACUGCUGAUGUGUGGAAGUUCUCAACUAAGAUAACUUUUUUUUUUCACUUGUGGUUUUUGUUCUGCUGGCGUUUUUAGUUUUUAGUCCGGAUGCUUGAUGAAUGAUCCUACCGAUGAGAUCCCUGAUGGUUAUGGAUAUUCAAAAUUUUGGAUCUUUUGAUAGUGGCUAUUGAAAUUUUGGAUCUAUUGGUACUUCUGGGUUCCCCUAAUUUCUUCUCCACUUCUGUUUUCUUUUGUGUAUCACACCACUUGCUUAUCUUUGGUUGGAUGGAUGUUCGUAGACCACAUGGGGAUUGGUACAUUAGAUUUCAAAUUGUUGGUGUCCAACGUGCGCUCUUGUGUAUCCUGUUUCUUGGCCAUUUUGAUGCUUGUAGUGCCAUCUGGAUAUCAUCAGUCUUUGAGAAAAAGGGGGUUUCAAAUCUUGUGUGGCAUUCUCUAGUAAUUUGUUAGGUGUAUGGGUUUUGCCAGCUUUGGACUUAACUGUUCCCUUAUUUCUGUGCUUGCAGCUGUUGGGUCUUAUAACAAUAACAUACCCAGUGUGAUUCCACAAGUGGGGUCUAGGAAGGAUAGAGUGUACGCAGACCUUACCCCUACCUUUGGAGGUAGAGAGGAUGUUGGGUCUUAUAGAGCAGUGAAUUCUUAUCAUGGAGCGUCCCUAUUUGUCAAAUCUCUAGUGAAUUGCUAUGAGGUUUUUCUUUUAAUCAGAGUGGUUCUCUUCUCUCUUUGUCAGAACUGCUUUUAUAUGGAAGUUCUCUCAACUAAGAUUACUCUUUUCACAAUUGUGUAUAAUAUAUUUUUUGCCAUUUCAACUAUUCCAGAUGCUUAUGUUCUUCGAUUAUCCAAGUGUUGAGAUCUCUUACCGCCUUCCAGGUAUGGAUGCCUGAUUAAGUAAAACUCAAUUCUGGAUCUUUUUAUAGCGUAAGGUGCUCCUCUGCCUUUGGUGUUCUCGCUCUUCUUAUCUGCUUCCGUGCUUUUUAUAAUCACGCCAGCUUGAUUUUGUUUGUUGGAUGGAUAGAUGUGUAUACCACAUGGUGAACGCUAAUGAGUAGAUUUGGAAAUUGCAAAUGGUGGUGCAUGCUGUUUCUUGGUCUUUUUGGUGCUUGCAUUGCAAUUUGGGUAUUGUCAGCCUUCAAGAAAAGGGGUUGCUUUUCAAUCUUGUCUUUUGUAUCUGUAGAUUUUCUACCUUGGGUUUCGCCAGCGUUGCACUUGACUGUUCCCUUCCCGUGCUUGCAGCUGUUGGGUCUUAGAGCUGUGAAUUCUACUUCUCAUGGAGAGCUUGUUUGUGAAUUUGUGUUAGAGGUUUCUGUAGUGCAGGCUUCAGUGAGUGAAGAGUCUAUAUUCAAGUUGUCGUCAGAGGCCCCUUCUCUCACCAUACUGAAGUUAUGUGUAAGUAGUUUUUUUUCUUAGGAAAAGUUGACAUGUCCAUGGUUGCUUCCUUACAUGGAGGUGGGUAGAUGAUCAUUGUUGUUCAAUUUUAGGUUCUCUUAUUGGGUGAUGUAGUAUCCAUAACAUAUUGUUUGUAUUUUUAAGGUGCAUACUUAUAUAUUGUAGAUUUGAUUGAUUAAACGUUUCUACUUUAAGGUGCGUACUUAUAUAUUUUAUAUUUCAUAGGUUCAAUCAAUUUUUGAAAGUGAAGGGUUUAGACUGAUCGGCAUUCCAAACUUUUUGUUGUUUUGUAGAAUUUCUCAAUUAAAUCUAUUGUUCUCGUCAAAGAUCCUUUUGCUGCCACUUUUAUUGAUAUUUCGAUGACUCAGAGACUGAGGCUGGUACAGUUCUGGGUGCGUGAUAAAUAUUGAAUUAUGCAUCUUUGCUAGCAGUGUGUAGAGCACUUGCCUGCAUUUGGUGUCCUCGCUAACGUCUUGGGUAGUCGUGUAAAGUGAUGCUCUACAUUUGGUGGUUUAAUGCAUUUAUCUUUUCUCUGUCUGUUUUCUUUUAUAUAUCACACUAACUUCUUUUUAUUUGUCGAAUAUCUGGUAGGGCACAUGGCGACCCUAGUAAAGAAUUAGAUUUCCGAGGGCAAUAACCAGAUGCGCUCAUGCGGAAGACCUCUGUCCUUAUCCAUUAGACAAUGGGCGCUUUCCAUUUUGAUUCUUUCUUCAUUAUUUUAACUUUUUUGUUUGAGAAAAAGAACAGAAAGAAUUGUAGGGUUCUUUCGAACAAAUUCAGGACAAAGAAACUUUUUAGUACUUGUACUCGUAGUGUGGAUUGUCAGUUUUGGGGAAAAUGGAAUUUGACAUCUCA